CCUACGGGGGCUGCAGUGAGGAAUAUUGGUCAAUGGGCGGAAGCCUGAACCAGCCAAGUAGCGUGCAGGAUGACGGCCCUACGGGUUGUAAACUGCUUUUAUACGGGAAUAACGCGCCUUACGUGUAGGGCUUUGCAUGUACCGUAUGAAUAAGGACCGGCUAAUUCCGUGCCAGCAGCCGCGGUAAUACGGAAGGUCCGGGCGUUAUGCGGAUUUAUUGGGUUUAAAUGGAGCGUAGGACGCAUGUCCAGCGUGCUUUGAAAUGUCCGGGCUCAACCCGGGCCUUGCAGCGGGACCUGGGGUGCUUGAGUCCGCGGACAGCAGGCGGAAUUCGUGGUGUAGCGGUGAAAUGCUGAGAUAUGACGAAGAACCCCGAUUGCGAGGGAAGCUUGUUGAAGCGGAACUGACGCUGAUGCUCGAAAGCGCGGGUAUCGAACAGGAUUAGAUACCCCGGUAGUC
rnacentral:rRNA from 1 species